rnacentral:rRNA from 1 species
GACGGAGGGUGCAAGCGUUGCUCGGAAUCACUGGGCGUAAAGGGUGCGUAGGCGGUCUCGCAAGUCUGGCGUGAAAGCCCCAAGGCUCAGCCUUGGAAGUGCGCUCGAAACGGCGAGGCUGGAGUGCCGGAGGGGAGAGUGGAAUUCCCGGUGUAGCGGUGAAAUGCGUAGAUAUCAAGAGGAACACCGGAGGUGAAGACGGGUUGCUGGGCUGACACUGACGCUGAGGCGCGAAAGCUAGGGUAGCAAACGGG